rnacentral:rRNA from 1 species
GACGAACGCUGGCGGCGUGCCUAAUACAUGCAAGUCGAGCGAAUGAAACUGAAUCUUCCCUCCGUGACGAUGGUAGCGGAUGUAUCGGCGACAGGUUGAGUAACUAGCUGGAAGACUGCGUGUAAGACGGGAAUCAGUCGCGAAUACCGGAGCUAAUACCGGAUGGUAUUGUGCACUAGAUAUGUCGGGGUUUGCAGUCAGCUCUAGAUGUAACCGAGCGGUGUUCCCGAGGCGCAUUAGCUAGUUGGUGAGGUAACGGCUCACCAAGGCGACGAUGCGUAGCCGACCUGAGAGGGUGAUCGGCCACACUGGAACUGAGACACGGCCCAGACUCCUACGGGAGGCAGCAGUAGGGAAUCUUCCGCAAUGGACGAAAGUCUGACGGAGCAACGCCGCGUGAGUGAUGAAGGUGUUCGGAUCGUAAAACUCUGUUGUUAGGGAAGAACAAGUACAAGAGUAACUGCUUGUACCUUGACGGUACCUAAUCAGAAAGCCCCGGCUAACUACGUG